rnacentral:rRNA from 1 species
UGGGGAAUAUUGCACAAUGGGCGCAAGCCUGAUGCAGCCAUGCCGCGUGUAUGAAGAAGGCCUUCGGGUUGUAAAGUACUUUCAGCGAGGAGGAAGGCGGUAAGGUUAAUAACCUUAUCGAUUGACGUUACUCGCAGAAGAAGCACCGGCUAACUCCGUGCCAGCAGCCGCGGUAAUACGGAGGGUGCAAGCGUUAAUCGGAAUUACUGGGCGUAAAGCGCACGCAGGCGGUCUGUCAAGUCGGAUGUGAAAUCCCCGGGCUCAACCUGGGAACUGCAUUCGAAACUGGCAGGCUAGAGUCUUGUAGAGGGGGGUAGAAUUCCAGGUGUAGCGGUGAAAUGCGUAGAGAUCUGGAGGAAUACCGGUGGCGAAGGCGGCCACCUGGACAAAGACUGACGCUCAGGUGCGAAAGCGUGGGGAGCAAACA